CGCCUCUCACCAUCACACCUGGAGAGUUUCCAGAACUCUACCAGUCUUGGCUAUGAGAGGGAGAGUCAAGCAGGGGGUUACCCAUUCCAUUCCUAGCUUGGACAGUGGCUCGUGAGUGGAAGGCAAUCUGCUACAUGU